CGGGCCCGGCCGAGCGGCAGCCCCUGCCCUGGAGGGUGGUCUCCAGGGACCAAGGCGUGGCGGGCGGUGCGGAGAGGCGCGGCACAGAUGGCUACAUCAGAGGAAUUUCUCCACAUAUUCAGAACGUCCUAAAAGCUCCACAAAAUCUUCAUCAUGAGUGAUUACCAGAAGCUGGAAGUUACGCUGCUAAGGCUUACUCCUUCGCCUGGGAUUUUCCUGACCUGUUACUACUUUUCUCUGGAAGAAAAAUUUAAAAGUAAUAAAGACAAACUACAGUUACUUGGGUGAGUUGGCUCCCCAGGCUUUUGAGAUACCUGCCUUUUGUCCAGCACUGCAUCGUCCUCGCAUAUCCAAGGCUGUGUCUCCCUUCAGCAUCACCACUCGGCUUUUAGCAGACUGAAGCCAUGGUUUUUAGUUUUGUCUCUAGUGAUGAGCAGAAAAGAGGGAUGAGGAAGAGGCUUUACUGGUCCAACCAGAAAGAGAAGCUAAGAACCCAUGACUGGAUUCUCUCCCUUGGACACCCCACAGACCAAUAUCUCACCUUCCAGGAGAAGACCCUUCCAGCUCUUGCUUCUUUAAACCUAUUAACUUAGUUUUCUUUAGCUAGACUCCCAAACAUCAGCUUUUACAAUUCAGCCUAUGGUUCAAUCACUAUGGCAAGAUAAACAUUUGUUUAGGUGUGAAAC
rnacentral:lncRNA from 1 species